rnacentral:rRNA from 1 species
CCUACGGGUGGCAGCAGUGGGGAAUAUUGGACAAUGGGCGAAAGCCUGAUCCAGCCAUGCCGCGUGUGUGAAGAAGGCCUUCGGGUUGUAAAGCACUUUCAGUGGGGAAGAAAGCCUUGGGGCUAAUACCCUCGAGGAAGGACAUCACCCACAGAAGAAGCACCGGCUAACUCCGUGCCAGCAGCCGCGGUAAUACGGAGGGUGCGAGCGUUAAUCGGAAUUACUGGGCGUAAAGCGCGCGUAGGCGGUCUGAUAAGCCGGUUGUGAAAGCCCCGGGCUCAACCUGGGAACGGCAUCCGGAACUGUCAGGCUAGAGUGCAGGAGAGGAGGGUAGAAUUCCCGGUGUAGCGGUGAAAUGCGUAGAGAUCGGGAGGAAUACCAGUGGCGAAGGCGGCCUUCUGGACUGACACUGACGCUGAGGUGCGAAAGCGUGGGUAGCAAACAGGAUUAGAUACCCGAGUAGUC